rnacentral:snoRNA from 1 species
UCGUUACCAUAAAAUAAUAGAACAUUUUUCAGGCUGCAGCGCCAGAGCAAUUGCUUGCACAUAACUGGGGCCUACAGCUCUCUGCCGGCGGCCCUUUUAACCGCGAGCGAUAUGG